rnacentral:rRNA from 1 species
CUAACGAGGAUUCCCCUAGUAACGGCGAGUGAAGCGGGAAGAGCUCAAAUUUGAAAUCUGACGGUCUAUUGGCCGUCCGAGUUGUAGUCUGGAGAAGCGUUUUCUACCUCGGACCGUGUACAAGUCCCUUGGAACAGGGCGUCGCAGAGGGUGAGAAUCCCGUCUUUGACACGGACCGCCGAUGGUUAUACGAUGCGCUCUCAAAGAGUCGAGUUGUUUGGGAAUGCAGCUCAAAACGGGUGGUAAAUUCCAUCUAAAGCUAAAUAUUGGCGAAAGACCGAUAGCGAACAAGUACCGUGAGGGAAAGAUGAAAAGCACUUUGGAAAGAGAGUUAAACAGUACGUGAAAUUGUUGAAAGGGAAACGCUUGAAGUCAGUCGCGUCUUCCGGGACUCAGCCCUUGCUUUUUUUAGCUGGGUGUAUUUCCUGGGACGACGGGCCAGCGUCGAUUUCGACCGUCGGAGAAAGGCCUUGGGAACGUGGCACCUGUUUUUGGGUGUGUUAUAGCCCUCGGUCGCAUGCGACGGUUGGGAUCGAGGAUCGCAGCACGCCUUUUUGGCCGGGGUUCGCCCACGUAACGUGCUUAGGAUGCUGGCGUAAUGGCUUUAAGCGACCCGUCUU